UACAGAGGGUGCGAGCGUUAAUCGGAAUUACUGGGUGUAAAGGGCGCGUAGGCGGUGAGACGAGUGUGUUGUGAAAGCCCCGGGCUUAACCUGGGAAGAGCAAUGCAAACGGUCUGACUAGAGUAUAUGAGAGGGUGGCGGAAUUUCCGGUGUAGCGGUGAAAUGCGUAGAGAUCGGAAGGAACGUCGAUGGCGAAGGCAGCCACCUGGCAUAAUACUGACGCUGAGGCGCGAAAGCGUGGGGAGCGAACAGG
rnacentral:rRNA from 1 species